UUUCUGAGCUUUCCCUCUGAAUUUGAUACCCAUACGAUCAAUUUGUCCCAUCAGGUUAGUGUUAGCUAGAGAAAAGAAAAACAAGAGUUUUAGUCAGGAUUUGGCCAAAUGCCGAAAGAAAGAAAAAUUUUAUAAGUUAAAGUAAAUUAAGAAUGAAUACUAAAUAGAAUUUAAAAGAAAAAGAAUAAUUAAAGAAGAAAUAAAA
rnacentral:lncRNA from 1 species